AUGCCCCUGCGGUGCCCGUGCUUCGUCGGGUAGAUUCUGAACCAACAUUUAAAAUCAGGGAGCUUGAAUCGGCUGCGGAAUGCAAGCCCGCCGGCACCAUCAGGCGGGGAGCAGGAAACAGCGGAUAGAGUUCCCGACUUGGUGAAAACCAGGUUCAUGAAUGCUUCGACACACGGCACAGGCGGGGGCUUU
rnacentral:other from 1 species